rnacentral:tRNA from 3 species
GCCGAUGUAGCUCAGCUGGCUAGAGCAGCUGAUUUGUAAUCAGCAGGCCGUGGGUUCGAGUCCCUCCAUCGGCU